CCGGGGUGGCUCGGGAUGCUGCGAGCGGCGCGCGGCGGGGCCCGGCGGCUGCUGUGGGGCGGGCUCGCACCGCCACCGCCACCGCCGGCACACGGCCGCCUCCCCCCGCGGCUCUGCCUUCCGCGCCGCCUGCUCCAACAGGCGCCCCAGCCCGCCGUGCCGCCGCCCGCCGUGGGGCGAUGGCUCCUGGUUUGCAGCGGUGCCGUGGCCGGUGCCGUGGUGCUGGGCGGCGUCACCAGGCUGACAGAAUCAGGCCUUUCUAUGGUCGACUGGCACCUGGUGAAGGAGAUGAAACCCCCCCGAACGCAGCAGGAGUGGGAAGCCGAGUUCCAGAAGUACCAGCAGUUCCCAGAAUUUAAAAUCCUGAACCACGAUAUGACACUGCCAGAGUUCAAGUUCAUUUGGUACAUGGAGUACUCGCACCGCAUGUGGGGCCGCGUUGUGGGCCUGGCCUACAUCCUGCCUGCUGCCUACUUCUGGCACCGGGGCUGGCUCAGCCGGCCCCUCAAGGGCCGUGUCCUCGCACUCUGUGGGCUGGUCUGCUUCCAGGGGCUGCUGGGAUGGUACAUGGUGAAGAGUGGGCUGGAAGAGAAGCCAGACUCCUACGACAUCCCUCGGGUCAGUCAGUACCGUCUGGCAGCACACCUGGGCUCUGCACUGGUCCUGUACUCUGCCAGCCUGUGGACAGGUCUGUCUUUGCUGCUUCCACAGCACAAGUUGCCAGAAACCAAACAGCUCCUUCGCUUGAAACAAUAUGCUCAUGGCACUACAGCUCUCAUUUUUCUUACUGCUCUUUCAGGUGCCUUUGUGGCAGGGCUGGAUGCUGGCCUUGUGUACAAUUCCUUCCCCAAAAUGGGGGAGCGCUGGAUCCCAGAUGAUCUCCUUGCCUUCUCCCCCAUACUGAGAAAUAUUUUUGAGAAUCCUACAACUGUACAGUUUGAUCACAGGAUCUUGGGAAUUGCCUCUGUCACAGCUGUCACGGCACUGUACCUCUUCUCGAGGAAGAUCCCACUCCCUCGAAGGACCAGGAUGGCUGUGACGUCCUUACUGGCUGUAGCUUGCAUGCAGGUGGGCCUGGGCAUCAGUACCUUGCUGCUUUAUGUCCCUACACCUCUGGCUGCUACACACCAGUCGGGCUCCCUGGCCCUGCUCAGCAUGGCACUGUGGCUCAUGAGCGAGCUUCGGAGAGUUCCCAAGUAACGCCCCUGCGGGAGAACCCUCCCGGGGAGCCGCACCGCCGGACCCCGAUUCCCGGGUGCGCAGGGGGAUGUGCGCCCAGCCGGGCUGGCGCGGGAGGCGGCGGCGGGUGGUGAUCAUCACGAUGCUGGUCACCACCGCCGUGUGCUGCUACCUCUUCUGGCUCAUCGCCAUCCUGGCCCAGGCCAACCCCCUGUUCGGGCCGCAGCUGAAGAACG